UCGAACGGAGUGAACGGGGAGCUUGCUCCUUGGAACUUAGUGGCAAACGGGUGAGUAACGCGUAGGCAACCUGCCCUUCAGAUGGGGACAACAUUUCGAAAGGAAUGCUAAUACCGAAUGACGUGCAUUGGUCGCAUGACCGAUGUACCAAAGGCCGGGCAACCGGUCACUGAAGGAUGGGCCUGCGUCUGAUUAGCUAGUUGGUGGGGUAACGGCCCACCAAGGCGACGAUCAGUAGCCGGUCUGAGAGGAUGAACGGCCACAUUGGGACUGAGACACGGCCCAAACUCCUACGGGAGGCAGCAGUGGGGAAUCUUCCGCAAUGGGCGCAAGCCUGACGGAGCAACGCCGCGUGAGUGAAGAAAGGGUUUUCGGAUCGUAAAGCUCUGUUGUCAGGGACGAGAGACUUGAUCAGGAAAUGGGUCAAGGAGGACGGUACCUGGCGAGAAAGCCACGGCUAACUACGUGCCAGCAGCCGC
rnacentral:rRNA from 1 species